CCUACGGGAGGCUGCAGUGGGGAAUAUUGGACAAUGGGGGCAACCCUGAUCCAGCCAUGCCGCGUGUGUGAAGAAGGCCCUCGGGUUGUAAAGCACUUUCAGUGAGGAAGAACGCCUGGUGGUUAAUACCCAUCAGGAAAGACAUCACUCACAGAAGAAGCACCGGCUAACUCCGUGCCAGCAGCCGCGGUAAUACGGAGGGUGCGAGCGUUAAUCGGAAUUACUGGGCGUAAAGCGCGCGUAGGUGGCUUGAUAAGCCGGUUGUGAAAGCCCCGGGCUCAACCUGGGAACGGCAUCCGGAACUGUCAAGCUAGAGUGCAGGAGAGGAAGGUAGAAGUCCCGGUGUAGCGGUGAAAUGCGUAGAGAUCGGGAGGAAUACCAGUGGCGAAGGCGGCCUUCUGGACUGACACUGACACUGAGGUGCGAAAGCGUGGGUAGCAAACAGGAUUAGAUACCCCAGUAGUC
rnacentral:rRNA from 1 species